rnacentral:misc_RNA from 1 species
GGUUUUUUUACUCUGUUUUCUCAUCCUUUCGUCGAAUUUCUCUCAUUUGCAAUCGGAGGAAACGAAGACGAACAAAUUCAGAGAACGAGAAGCUACAGAUGAUUCCAGUGCUUAUCCAAAUAUAGAUGAGGAUGAAUUGCUGAAUACACAAUGCCCCCAGCAUUUGGAGCUAAGAUGGCAGACAGAAGUUAGUUCUAGCGUGUAUGCCUCGCCCUUGAUAGCUGACAUUAACAGUGAUGGGAAGCUUGAGGUUAUAGUACCUUCGUUUGUUCAUUACUUGGAAGUUCUGGAAGGUUCUGAUGGAGAUAAACUGCCAGGAUGGCCAGCUUUUCAUCAAUCUACCAUUCAUUCCAGUCCUUUACUGUAUGACAUUGACAAGGAUGGAGUGAGGGAAAUCGGUUUGGCCACCUACAAUGGUGAGGUGCUCUUUUUCAGGGUGUCAGGAUACUUGAUGUCUGAUAAACUUGAGAUUCCUCGGUUGAAGGUCAAAAAGAAUUGGUAUGUGGGUUUGAAUUCAGUCCCUGUGGACCGUUCUCAUCCGGAUGUCCACGAUGACCAACUAAUCCAGGAGCACCUGAUGGAAUCUGUAGUCCGUCAUAAUUCAUCUAGUCACAGUGGCAACCAUUCAG